rnacentral:rRNA from 1 species
GAGUUUGAUCCUGGCUCAGGAUGAACGCUGGCGGCGUGCUUAACACAUGCAAGUCGAGCGAAGCACUUUCGAUGAUCCUUCGGGUGAUUUGAUUGUGACUGAGCGGCGGACGGGUGAGUAACGCGUGAGUAACCUGCCUCAUACAGGGGAAUAACAGUUAGAAAUGACUGCUAAUGCCGCAUAAGCGCACGGGGCCGCAUGGCCCGGUGUGAAAAACUCCGGUGGUAUGAGAUGGACUCGCGUCUGAUUAGCUAGUUGGCAGGGUAACGGCCUACCAAGGCGACGAUCAGUAGCCGGCCUGAGAGGGUGAACGGCCACAUUGGGACUGAGACACGGCCCAAACUCCUACGGGAGGCAGCAGUGGGGAAUAUUGCACAAUGGGGGAAACCCUGAUGCAGCGACGCCGCGUGAGCGAAGAAGUAUUUCGGUAUGUAAAGCUCUAUCAGCAGGGAAGAUAAUGACGGUACCUGACUAAGAAGCCCCGGCUAACUACGUGCCAGCCGCCGCGGUAAUAC